ACCGUCCUACGGGGGGCAGCAGUGGGGGAUAUUGCACAAUGGGGGAAACCCUGAUGCAGCGACGCCGCGUGAGCGAUGAAGUAUUUCGGUAUGUAAAUCUCUAUCAGCAGGGAAGAAAAUGACGGUACCUGACUAAGAAGCCCCGGCUAACUACGUGCCAGCAGCCGCGGUAAUACGUAGGGGGCAAGCGUUAUCCGGAUUUACUGGGUGUAAAGGGAGCGUAGACGGCAGUGCAAGUCUGACGUGAAAGGCAAGGGCUCAACCCUUGGACUGCUUUGGAAACUGUGCUGCUUGAGUGCCGGAGG
rnacentral:rRNA from 1 species